UGUACAAAGGUAGCAUAAUCAUUUGUCUCUUAAUUGGAGUCUGGAAUGAAUGGUUGGAUGAAAAAUUUACUUUCUUUAUUUUAAAUAGAAAACUUGAUAUUUGAGUUAAAAAGCUUAACUAUUGAUAGAGGACGAGAAGACCCUAUAGAACUUUAUUCUUUUAUGUUAAUUAUUUUUUUGUGAAUGAUUAUUUGUUAAUUUAUUAAGAAUUUUGUUGGGGUGACAAAAAAAAUUUUAUAACUUUUUUUAAUUUUUUCAUAUAUAUAUGAUUUUUUGAUCCUUUAUUAGGGAAAAAAGAUUAAGUUACCUUAGGGAUAACAGCGUUAUUAUUUUAGAGAGUUCAUAUUGAUAAAAUAGUUUGCGACCUCGAUGUUGGAUUAAAAUAAAUUUUAGGAGUAGAAGAUUAAAGUAUUAGGUCUGUUCGACCUUUAAAUUUUUACAUGAUCUGAUUUCAAACCGGAGA
rnacentral:rRNA from 1 species